CGGCACGUAGCGCAGCCAGGUAGCGCACCGUCAUGGGGUGUCGGGGGUCGGAGGUUCAAAUCCUCUCGUGCCGACCA
rnacentral:tRNA from 1 species